UACAGGGGGUGCAAACGUUGCUCGGAAUCAUUGGGCGUAAAGCGCACGUAGGCGGUUCGUUAUGUCGGAUGUGAAGCCCUUGGCUUAACCGAGGAAGUGCAUCCGAAACUGGCGAGCUAGAGUACGAAAGAGGAUCGCGGAAUUCCCGGUGUAGAGGUGAAAUUCGUAGAUAUCGGGAGGAACACCGGUGGCGAAGGCGGCGAUCUGGGUCGAUACUGACGCUGAGGUGCGAAAGCGUGGGGAGCAAACAGG
rnacentral:rRNA from 1 species